rnacentral:rRNA from 1 species
AUUUAACGGCGCGGAAUGCUUUACACAUGCAAGUCGAACGGCAGCACGGAGAGCUUGCUCUCUGGUGGCGAGUGGCGAACGGGUGAGUAAUAUAUCGGAACGUAUCCAAUAAUGGGGGAUAACGAGUCGAAAGAUUCGCUAAUACCGCAUACGCCCUACGGGGGAAAGCAGGGGAUCGUAAGACCUUGCGUUAAUGGAGCGGCCGAUAUCUGAUUAGCUUGUUGGUGAGGUAAAGGCUCACCAAGGCGACGAUCAGUAGCUGGUUUGAGAGAACGACCAGCCACACUGGAACUGAGACACGGUCCAGACUCCUACGGGAGGCAGCAGUGGGGAAUUUUGGACAAUGGGGGCAACCCUGAUCCAGCCAUUCCGCGUGAGUGAAGAAGGCCUUCGGGUUGUAAAGCUCUUUCGCAAGGGAAGAAAACUUAUGAUCGAAUAAAUCAUGAGGUUGACGGUACCUUGAUAAGAAGCACCGGCUAACUACGUGCCAGCAGCCGCGGUAAUACGUAGGGUGCGAGCGUUAAUCGGAAUUACUGGGCGUAAAGCGUGCGCAGGCGGUUUUGUAAGUCGGAUGUGAAAUCCCCGGGCUCAACCUGGGAACUGCGUUCGAAACUGCAAGGCUAGAGUGUGUCAGAGGGGGGUAGAAUUCCACGUGUAGCAGUGAAAUGCGUAGAGAUGUGGAGGAAUACCAAUGGCGAAGGCAGCCCCCUGGGAUAACAC